CACAACAGCAGUUGCCAAUUACCGUGGGCCCUAUGUUUAAAUAUUUAUAAAAAACAAUAAUGAAUGUUCUUACAGUUAAAUGCAACAAGAAAUUGGUUUGUUCAGCGGACGUCCUCGAUUACACUUGAUGCAAACUGUUUUGAAAGAGCGCGGAUCGUCCCAUUGAUAAUAUGACAAUGAUGCUUUGUAAUAAUUGAGCAUGAUUGUUUUAAAAGAUAUCAGGUUGUUAGUACUCAAACAAAGUUCAUCUGCCAAAACGUUCCAUACUCUACAUGUUCGUACAAAGUAAGAACGCUGAUAUGUGGUUGUCUUGCAUUUUGGCACUACAAACUUUAUCACGUUGCUCGCUGAUGAUCUGGUCGACCUAGUGUUUCUGGCCGUAGGUAUAACGGUAUGAUCUAUAAUGACUAGUCCGUGAAUGAUCUUGAAGAAAAAUAUCAUAUCCUGCAGUUCAUGCCAGUAGGUAAUAGGGAUAAGAUUCAAUUUUUUCAAUCGAAGAGUGUAAUCUACAUUAGAACUGUAUGGUAUGCUAAGAAUAUAUCUCGUUGCACGCCUUUGUAUGCGCUCUAAUUUACCAAUUAAUUGGACGAACUGCG